ACUCGGUUAUCUCAGUCGAUAUAGAAUUGGAUUUUAAAUCUGAAUGUUUAGGGUUCGGGCCCCUAAUCGCGCG
rnacentral:tRNA from 1 species